rnacentral:rRNA from 1 species
AUAGAACGCUGGCGGCAGGCUUAACACAUGCAAGUCGAGCGGUAGCACAAGAGAGCUUGCUCUCUGGGUGACGAGCGGCGGACGGGUGAGUAAUGUCUGGGAAACUGCCUGAUGGAGGGGGAUAACUACUGGAAACGGUAGCUAAUACCGCAUAACGUCGCAAGCCCAAAGAGGGGGACCUUCGGGCCUCUUGCCAUCAGAUGUGCCCAGAUGGGAUUAGCUAGUAGGUGGGGUAAUGGCUCACCUAGGCGACGAUCCCUAGCUGGUCUGAGAGGAUGACCAGCCACACUGGAACUGAGACACGGUCCAGACUCCUACGGGAGGCAGCAGUGGGGAAUAUUGCACAAUGGGCGCAAGCCUGAUGCAGCCAUGCCGCGUGUGUGAAGAAGGCCUUCGGGUUGUAAAGCACUUUCAGCGAGGAGGAAGGUGGUGAGCUUAAUACGCUCAUCAAUUGACGUUACUCGCAGAAGAAGCACCGGCUAACUCCGUG